GCAGUCCCGGAAAUAAACCACCUCAUUAGCAUAUUGAGGUACCCCAAACAACGGAUGAAGUUAUGCUUAUGAAUUUGUGCGGGUACGAUGAAGGUGCAAAUGUGUUACAUUGAUGCCAUGGAGACAGAUGUUUCAUCUUGGAAGAUGUACCAAUGACGCGUAGUUCUGAGUAGCAGAUUUUUACCCACCUUGACUGGUAAGACUGCUGCUUGAAGAAGUUUGUUCAGACUACCUAGAAGAAGACCCGCCUCUCUAGACUGAACAGUGAAGAGAAGUGUGUGAGUUUAAAGGUUGGGCCACAUGGUAUAGAAGAUUUGUUUUUACAUUUCUGACAGUUUUGCUGCAUCUGAAGCAUAUUGCAGAUAUUUUCUUUGGAAGUACCCAUACUUGACUGGCUGAAGGCAAAAUACCAGUUUUUCCACAUACUGCCCAGAUUACUCCCAAGACUGACAGAAUACAGCACUUGUAUAGGGCUCUGAAAAGUGGUUUAGAAGAGUUGAGAAGAUCGUCUGCCAAGUUUAUUAAGUGACAAUAAGAUUGAGGAAUUUGAUCCUGCUGGGAGGAGAUUCUUUUAAAAGAU